rnacentral:rRNA from 1 species
UAGGGAAUCUUCCACAAUGGACGCAAGUCUGAUGGAGCAACGCCGCGUGAGUGAAGAAGGCUUUCGGGUCGUAAAACUCUGUUAUUGAAGAAGAACGUGUGUGACAGUAACUGGUCAUGCAGUGACGGUAUUCAAUCAGAAAGUCACGGCUAACUACGUGCCAGCAGCCGCGGUAAUACGUAGGUGGCAAGCGUUGUCCGGAUUUAUUGGGCGUAAAGCGAGUGCAGGCGGUCUUUUAAGUCUGAUGUGAAAGCCUUCGGCUUAACCGAAGAAGGGCAUCGGAAACUGGGAGACUUGAGUGCAGAAGAGGAGAGUGGAACUCCAUGUGUAGCGGUGAAAUGCGUAGAUAUAUGGAAGAACACCAGUGGCGAAGGCGGCUCUCUGGUCUGUAACUGACGCUGAGGCUCGAAAGCGUGGGUAGCAAACAGGAUUAGAUACCCUGGUAGUCCACGC